AUGGCUCAGUGGUAGAGUGCUUGCCUCAUAUGCAUGAGGCCCUGGGUUCGAUUCCUCAGU
rnacentral:tRNA from 1 species